UACAGAGGUCCCCGAGCGUUGUUCGGAUUCAUUGGGCGUAAAGGGUGCGUAGGCGGUUUGCUAAGUUUGAUGUGAAAUCCCGGGGCUCAACCCUGGAAUUGCAUUGAAUACUGGCGGACUAGAGUCCUGGAGAGGAAACUGGAAUUUACGGUGUAGCAGUGAAAUGCGUAGAGAUCGUAAGGAAGACCAGUGGCGAAGGCGAGUUUCUGGACAGGUACUGACGCUGAGGCACGAAGGCCAGGGGAGCAAACGGG
rnacentral:rRNA from 1 species